AUGACCCUGGUUGGACCUGUGAGAGCAGGUUUAAGAAAGGGAAAAAAAUGGGGCACAACAGCAGCUGGGAGAGUGAGGAGGGGGAAGCAGCCCUGUGGCCCCUCAGAUACUUCUCUGUCCAUCGCUCUGUCCUGCCAACUCUGCUGUGAGUGUGAAGUUGUGGCAAGAGGGAUUUCCUAUUCCUAAUGUGACCUGGUGGACACCAACUUUCCUACUAAAUUGCCGACAUUGCUGAGGAGGCAGCAGUAUCAAAGCCCUUGUGGAUGAAGAUAUAACAAGUUUGGGGAGGCUUUGGCAUUUCUGUACAAUGCUGCUCCCUGAUUGUGACCCAAGACUCAGAUUCUGAAGGAAGCAAAGCAAGCUAGAGGAAAACUGUAUGCCCUGGUAAUUUUUUAUUUUAUUUUAUAUUUUCAUUCUUCACCUGUAAGAAAAUCUAAAUCUUUAAACCAUUUGUUUGAAAACAGUUUUAUGGAAAUGACUAUGGGCGUGCUCCUUAACCUUCUUUGGAACCUAUUUAACCUUGCUUCAGUUAUAGGAGACCUAUGCUCAAAUUUAUGCUUACCAUGAUAAAGCGGUAUUCUUUUGGUAUUCUUUCCUUUGACGAUUGCAAGUGAGGUUGAAAGGAGUUUUCAGUAUGAUCCUUCUUUUCCUUUGCAGUCUCCAAAACUCCAUAUUAUAGCUGAUCUUCAUCUCUGAUCUGAAAAGCUUCACAGGCCAGAAGAGAAUUGAGAUGAGGAAGGAAGCAGAGAAUGCUGAUGAAUAUUUCCAAUUACCACCUGUAAGUUUUGUGAAAGAAUCAGGUGCAUUUCUGUAGUGGUCGAAAGUUUAGUUGGAAACACUUCAUAAGUACAUCAAAUUCAAUUCAUUUUUCUCAGUUAGAGCAAUCACGUUGUUUAGUCUACUGUUAAGGUAUUUGUCUGUAGGCAGCUGCCACCUUGUAUGGCUAAUCAAAUUAAGCCCUGACAAAAAAAAAAAAAGUUAUACAGAAACAUGUAGUUUAUUGAGUCCAACUGUCUCAUUUCAAGUAUUAUGGGUUUAAACAAGUUUUGGGUGACUCCAGGGCUGGGUUCCCUGGGAGCCUUUCUUUAAUUCCUGGCAGAUCAGCCAUAAGGACAAUACAUAAUUUUAUUUCUGUGUAACAGCAAAAUGAAAUUUGUAGCUGUGAAAGCAAUUUUUGAGGAUUUUUAAAUCCUUGCUUUUGAUAUUUUAUGAAAACAAUUUCUACGUAGAAUAUCUUCGAGAAUCAAUAUGCUCUUUAAAUUUUUGCUUUGCUUUAAACCUCAGGUGACAAAUAUAAUUGGUUGUCUGAGUACAAAGAAAUGUCAAGACUGACAUAUUUGAUAGUAUUUGUUUGAACCAAAAUGUAGAAGAAUUAGGAAAAAAAAUAAAAAAAAGAAAAGAUGCA
rnacentral:lncRNA from 1 species